rnacentral:lncRNA from 1 species
UUUGUAAACUGGUUCCUGGUAAAUUUAUCUCCAUGACUAUAGUUCAUAGAAAUAAAUUAAACUCCAUGAACUGAGGUUCUUCUAUCCCUUCAUAGCACCAACAUGAGAGGGUGGCUCUAAGUACCAGCUGCAGAUGGACUGGAGGAACAGAAUCAUUCAUUUCUUUACCACUUACUAUUCGAUCCUGCUCUAUUCACAUAAGAAAAUCCCCCAAAGUAAUUGAAUUCAGCAAUAAUUCAAAAAAUAGAAAUGGUUCUGCAAAGGAAUGUGUAGACAUCUUCUAGAAAGCCUAACUCCUGACAGGUGAAAAGUCUCAAAAGAAAAACAAAUGACUAACAAAUGUCUAGGCUAACAGGAAAAUAAUUCCCAAAAGAAUGCACACAGGAAGAGCCAGGGCCCAGAGCACUGCCAGGCCUCAUGUCCGUGAGAGCUAUGCUCACCAGGGGUUCACAGGUGACCAAGAUGUGCUCUGUUCUUCAGAGCCCACAGUACACCAAAACUUCUCUGGGGAAGUGAAGAGAAUUUAUUUCGGCUCCAUCUCUGAGCUACCUGCUUUUGAUUACAUGGGUCCUAAAUAAUCGCCCUGUGACACCAAGGUUUUACAGAAAUUUUGGAAAGGCCUCUCUUUGAGAUGCUGCCCUCAGUGUUGCUAUUCCUUUCAGAUCACUGGGGCAAUGUUAUCUGAGUUUCUAACCCAGACCCCCUCUUCCCUUAGGAAACAUUCUCUCCCAGAGGGUUCUUGGGCCUCUCCAUACACCAAUUAUGUGUGCCUGAAAGCAUAUGAAUUCAGGAAUGAGCACAGCUGAAGUUCCAACUGGUCUGUGCUUCAGAAUGAUUUUGUCAGUCACAGAAUCACAGAGCUGGUGGGUAAUGGAACUACUACUUCAGCCAUGAAAGUCUUAUUCUGUAGCCCUUUUUCAUUUUCUUUUCCCUCACUGAAUAUUGCCUCACUCCAUGAAAUGGUACAAGUCAAUUACAAGCAGGAGCGGUAAUCAGGAAGGGACAAGUCUCACUAUAGUUAAUAAAGGAUCGUCUUUCCCCACAAUUACUCUUCAGCAAGGGGAUUAAUUAGUAUAUUCUUUAAAAACUGUUUUCUAUGUGCCACCUUCAGACAAGUGCAGCUUUGGUGUGAUAUGUGAUGCUGUUGUAAUAGGAACCUAGACCUGGUAACUAAUCUUCAUUAUUAAAUACUUGAUUUUAAGUGUCAUAUAGAUUUUCCUCUGCCUCCUCAGAGGUAACUCUUAACCUUCAUAUAAAUUCUAGGUAAAAUGGAAGUAACUAUCUCCUACGAACUCAUGGACAUCCAGAGGAUGAGCUUCUGUACAAUAUUUUAGUGGUUUAGGACAGGAGUAUGAAAAGUAUGUUGAUUUCCUUUGACCAAAGCAUGACUUUACUUUUUCUGCUUUGCUCUUCCUUAUAAACUGUGUUGGACAGGAGUCUAAUAACAUAGUUGGGAUGCUGGCCAUACCUAUGACCUCUAUCAGAAAUCUUGCCUCUGAUGCCUCUGAUGGAGUGGUGUAUUUAAAGUAUUGGCAGGGGGAAAAAGCCCAGUCAACCCAGAACACCAUGCAUAGUGAAAAUAUUUUUAAAAAAUUAAGGUGAAGGGGUGCCUGGGUGGCUAAGUGGUUAAGCCUCUGCUUUUGGCUCAGGUUGUGAUCCUGGAGUCCUGGGAUUGAGUCCCACAUCGGGCUCCCUG